GAACUGCUAAGGGUCAAGGGUCACAAAGGGAGAGGUGAGAGGUCCUGAGAAGGCUGGGUCAUGCUUCAACUUGACUCCGCUAUCCUCUGUGAGCAACUCCUGAACCCAGCGACGGAGGCAGUGUGUGUGUGUGUGUGUGUGUGUGUGUGUGUGUGUGUGUGUGUGUGUGUGUGUGUGUGUGUGUGUGUGUGUGAUAGUCGUUGUUCUAGUUGUACAAACGAUGAUUGGUUGUGUGUGUGUGUGUGUGUGUGUGUGUGUGUGUGUGUGUGUGUGUGUGUGUGUGUGUGU